rnacentral:rRNA from 1 species
UACGAAGGGGGCUAGCGUUGUCCGGAAUUACUGGGCGUAAAGCGCAUGUAGGCGGCUUUCUAAGUCGGGGGUGAAAUCCUGGAGCUCAACUCCAGAACUGCCUUCGAUACUGGAAAGCUCGAGUCCGGGAGAGGUGAGUGGAACUGCGAGUGUAGAGGUGAAAUGCGUAGAUAUUCGCAAGAACACCAGUGGCGAAGGCGGCUCACUGGCCCGGUACUGACGCUGAGGUGCGAAAGCGUGGGGAGCAAACAGG